UCAUACGGAGGAUCCAAGCGUUAUCCGGAAUUACUGGGCGUAAAGAGUUGCGUAGGUGGCAGAGUAAGCGAAACAUGAAAUCUUGUGGCUCAACCAUAAGGCUAUGUUUUGAACUGCUCAGCUUGAGUAUGAGAGAGGUUAUUGGAAUUCCUAGUGUAGGAGUGAAAUCCGUAGAUAUUAGGAGGAACACCGAUGGCGUAGGCAGAUAACUGGCUCAUUACUGACACUAAGGCACGAAAGCGUGGGGAGCAAACGGGAUUAGAUACCCCGGUAGUCCACGCCGUAAACUAUGGAUGCUAGCUGUUAGAAGUAUCGACCCUUCUAGUAGCGAAGCUAACGCGUUAAGCAUCCCGCCUGGGGAGUACGGUCGCAAGACUA
rnacentral:rRNA from 1 species